AUUGAACGCUGGCGGCAUGCCUUACACAUGCAAGUCGAACGGUAACAGGUCUUCGGAUGCUGACGAGUGGCGAACGGGUGAGUAAUACAUCGGAACGUGCCCGAGAGUGGGGGAUAACGAGGCGAAAGCUUUGCUAAUACCGCAUACGAUCUCAGGAUGAAAGCAGGGGACCGCAAGGCCUUGCGCCCACGGAGCGGGCGAUGGCAGAUUAGGUAGUUGGUGGGAUAAAAGCUUACCAAGCCGACGAUCUGUAGCUGGUCUGAGAGGACGACCAGCCACACUGGGACUGAGACACGGCCCAGACUCCUACGGGAGGCAGCAGUGGGGAAUUUUGGACAAUGGGCGCAAGCCUGAUCCAGCCAUGCCGCGUGCAGGAUGAAGGCCUUCGGGUUGUAAACUGCUUUUGUACGGAACGAAAAGACUCCUUCUAAUAAAGGGGGUCCAUGACGGUACCGUAAGAAUAAGCACCGGCUAACUACGUGCCAGCAGCCGCGGUAAGAC
rnacentral:rRNA from 1 species